GGAAGAGGGAUUUUUUUUUUGAAAAAUAUUUGCAUAAAAAUGAAUACAACACGUAAUUUUAUAAAUAAUUGAUCACAAUUUUUUUAUUAAUUAAAAAAUUAAAAAAUCUUUAUUUUUCAUUAUCACCACCCAUAAUUUCAAUUUUAAAAAAUCAAAUUUAAAAUAAAUUUAAAAUUCUCUCUCUCCUUAUUAAUUAUUUUAAAAAAUAUAGAUAUAAUUGUGGUUUUAUACAAGAUUUCUCCUUUUUUU
rnacentral:lncRNA from 1 species